rnacentral:misc_RNA from 1 species
UUAAUUAUAAGGAGCAGCUGCAGCUGCAGCUAUGCACACCACUUUCUUAUAUUAAUAUUUUGAGGUGCAAGUUAAUUAAUUUUGUCCUCCAUAAUACCAGUCUAGUUGAUCCCAAUCCCAAGAAGGUGGUUGAGUAUCAAUAGACAUAGGGAUGCUACUAGUUUCUCCUGUUUGAGGUGGAUUAUUUGUGGCAAGUUCUUCAGAGGAUGAACUCUCAGUUGAGUUUGGUCUCUCCAGCACCAUUGGAGGGUUUUGAAGAGAUGUUGUUGCCUCAUCACCUCGAAUAAUAGCAGCUGCUGCUUGAUGGCCUCUUAUGUCAUCAACUCCCAGUGGCCUUCUAUCAAAUGCUCGCGUGUUUUUUGAUUUCUUGUACACCCGACACAGGCUGAAUUCAUGCCU